AGCGCAGGCGGACCGGCAAGUUGGAAGUGAAAACUAUGGGCUCAACCCAUAAAUUGCUUUCAAAACUGCUGGCCUUGAGUAGUGCAGAGGUAGGUGGAAUUCCCGGUGUAGCGGUGGAAUGCGUAGAUAUCGGGAGGAACACCAGUGGCGAAGGCGACCUACUGGGCACCAACUGACGCUGAGGCUCGAAAGCAUGGGGAGCAAACA
rnacentral:rRNA from 1 species